UGCUAGAAGCGGAUUUAUUUCUGUUGUGGU
rnacentral:piRNA from 1 species